AAUGCGAAGCCACCUCUGUGCCUGUACUGAAUUUAAGCGAAUGCGGAAGUACGCACAAGGGAUACAUCUCGACUCGCUACAGUGGCGAAUGUUGCCUGAAAAAUCAAAACAAACAACUCUGGGAAAUAAGCGCGUGGAUGAAUGCUUCUUUGUAUCUGUAGCAACACAACCAGACUGAGUGUCUCAGAAAUAGACCUUCAUCAUGUCGAAUAUGGAGAGUAUCCUUUCCUGUGUGGUAUAACGUGCAAAACCGUAGACAGUUGCCUGGCAGGAGGAGUAGCUAGCCAAAUGUAAGCUGGGUUUGGAAGCUAAUCCUCACUUGCAUUAGCUUGCAAGUUUUGCCCAGUCACUCAUUGAUGAAAGAAAAGAAGUACAGGUUAGCUAGUUCGCCUAAUAAAUGUGACAACGUUUUGGUUAAAUUUGAACAUGAUUUGGAAAAACAGUUUACCUUACCUGCACUGAGUUGGGUUGAUUUAGCUGAAUGUGUUGAGGUUCCUCAGUAUAUAGUCAGUGAAAUGCUAAUUUAUACAAUUGGUAACAUAAAUCAUCCCUUGACUAGGCACACAGAACACUUGUUCAACCUCAAGUUUGCUGCCAAGGAUCUACAGCGCAACUCAAAGAAAUGUGACAAAGAGGAAAAGGCAGAAAAGGCUAAAGUGAAGCAGGCUAUUCAGAAGGGUAAUUUGGAGGCAGCCAGGAUCCAUGCAGAGAAUGCCAUCCGUCAGAAGCAUCAGUCCAUUAACUUUCUGAGGAUGAGUGCCCGUGUGGAUGCUGUGUCGUCCAGGGUCCAGACUGCCGUCACUAUGAACCAGGUAUCUAAGUCCAUGUCUGGGGUGGUGAAGAGUAUGGAUGCUACACUGAAAAGCAUGAACCUGGAGAAGAUUUCUGCUUUGAUGGACAAGUUUGAAAACCAAUUUGAAACUCUUGACGUGCAGACAGCUCAGAUGGAAGACACAAUGGGCAACACCACGACUCUGACAACACCUCAGAAUGAAGUGGAUAUGCUGUUGCAUGAGAUGGCUGAUGAAGCAGGUUUGGAUCUUAACCUGGAGCUUCCUUCAGGCCAAACAUCUUCACUGGCUUCAUCUGUGGCAUCGACAGAGCAGGAUGAGCUCUCCCAGAGGCUGUCCAGACUGCGAGACCAGGUGUCAUAAUGACGCAAAAAAUAAAAAAAGAUCAGGAGGAGGGAGAAGAGCAAGAGAAGCAAGAAGAGACAGGGAGUGAAAAAGAGUAAAAGAAAAACUGGAGAAUAAAUGAAAAAGGUGCAACGUGCCUGCAAGCUCUGUGCCCUCCUUUGUGUCCCAGGGAACAGAUGAGAGGUCAAAGGUGUCACCUGUAGAGGAAGCGGCCUUCUGCCGCUCGCAUGCCAGUGCCUCAUUACACACACACACAUAGCCCAGCGUAUUCCAUGGGGAGGCAGGUCUCAGCUGGGAGCCAUUACAGUGCCAUCAACACGUCCUUGGCCAGGUUCCUAGAAGACUGGUACUUGCUGACAGGCAGGGAUCCGGUGGGCCGGUGGUCCUGUCCCCGUGGUCAACCUGUCUGCUUCUGCUCAGGGGGGAAGAACUGCUUAGAGCCACACACAUACUGACUCAGUGAAAAAGCUCUAAUUGCAUCAAGGAGGACUGGUUGGACUUUUACAUGAUUCACACACAGGAUGUGAAACAGUGUGUCCAGACAGUUAGUCAUAAGCAGGGAUCAGCAGGAAAGGAUACAUGCAGCUAAAGCCUAAUUUUUUUUUAAUCUUGAGAAUAAAAUUUAAGGAAACAUUAAUUUACCGGUCCAUAACCUCUGGAGGAUUUCAUAAUAAUUUCUCAGAAGUUUCCUGGAAAUAACUAUUUAAUAUGGCACUUAUAAGGGAAAAAGAGACAUCAUUCAGUGGGAACACUUGUAUAACUAAGAGUCGUUUAGUCAGAGCACAGCAGGUCAGCCUGACAUGCCAAAAAAAAAAAAAAAAAGAAAUUUGUCUGCAUAUACAUGAAGCUGAAAUUAUUAAUCAGUUAUUGAUUAUGUGAUUAAUUAUUUUGACAACUGAUUAAUUGUUUCAGUGACUUCAGGCUCUGGGUAAUUGUGACAUUGGGGCAUUGUUUUUCGCAAUUUUGAUUUUGAUUAAAUGAUUAAUGGAUUUAUCAAAAACUAAUCUGCAGAUUAAUCAAUAAUUAAAAUAAUUUUUAGUUGCAGCCCCAUUUGUGUUUGAAUCGAGCAGUUCUUUUUCCCUUCCUAUUUUCCCUGUGCUAAAAAAAAAACACAAUUUUCCCCAGGAACUUCCAAGGAAAUGAUUUUUCAAAAAUUAGGAAAUGUUGAAUGCACUUAUAUGACCUCAAAGUUCAUAAGAAUCUUGAUGCUGCAUAUUUAUAACAUAUGUUAUAGGUUUAAAAUAAUGCUGGUCUUCUGUUAGAGAGGAAAUCAAACA